rnacentral:rRNA from 1 species
CAACGGAGAGUUUGAUCCUGGCUCAGGACGAACGCUGGCGGCGUGCCUAACACAUGCAAGUCAAAGGAAAGCAGCUUCGGUUGUGAGUACUUGGCGCAAGGGUGAGUAACGUAUAGGUAAUCUGCCUUUUGGACUGGGAUAACCCCGAGAAAUCGGGGACAAUACCAGAUGAUGCAGCGGGACCGCAUGGUCAUGUUGUU